UACAGGGGGUGCAAGCGUUGCUCGGAAUUAUUGGGCGUAAAGCGCGCGUGGCGGCCACUUCAGUUGGAUGUGAAAGCCCUUGGCUCAACUGAGGAAGUGCACCCGAAACUGACUGGCUUGAGUACUAAAGAGGGUCGCGGAAUUCCCGGUGUAGAGGUGAAAUUCGUAGAUAUCGGGAGGAACACCGGUGGCGAAGGCGGCGACCUGGGUAGAUACUGACGCUGAGGCGCGAAAGCGUGGGGAGCAAACAGG
rnacentral:rRNA from 1 species